rnacentral:rRNA from 1 species
UACAGAGGGUGCAAGCGUUGUUCGGAAUUAUUGGGCGUAAAGGGCGCGUAGGCGGUGCGGUAAGUCUGCGGUGAAAUCUCUCGGCUCAACUGGGAGUCUGCCGUGGAAACUGCCGUGCUUGAGUGUGGGAGAGGUGAGUGGAAUUCCCGGUGUAGCGGUGAAAAUGCGUAGAGAUCCGGAAGAACACCGGUGACGAAGGCGGCCUGCUGGGCAGUUGCUGACACUGAGGCGCGACACGUGGGGAGCAAACAGG